GACGAACGCUGGCGGCGUGCUUAACACAUGCAAGUCGAACGGAAAGGCCCUGCUUUUGUGGGGUGCUCGAGUGGCGAACGGGUGAGUAACACGUGAGUAACCUGCCCUUGACUUUGGGAUAACUUCAGGAAACUGGGGCUAAUACCGGAUAGGAGCUCCUGCUGCAUGGUGGGGGUUGGAAAGUUUCGGCGGUUGGGGAUGGACUGGCGGCUUAUCAGCUUGUUGGUGGGGUAGUGGCUUACCAAGGCAUGGACGGGUAGCCGGCCUGAGAGGGUGGCCGGCCACAUUGGGACUGAGGUACGGCCCAGACUCCUACGGGGGGCAGCAGUGGGGAAUAUUGCACAAUGGGAGGACGCGUGAUGCAGCAACGCCGCGUGCGGGAUGACGGCCUUCGGGUUGUAAACCGCUUUCGCCUGUGACGAAGCGGGAGUGACGGUAAUGGGUAAAGAAGCACCGGCUAACUACGUG
rnacentral:rRNA from 1 species